rnacentral:tRNA from 1 species
UCCUUGAUAGCUCAGUUGCAGAGCGUUAGACUGGUGAUCUAAAGGUCACAAGCUUGAUCAUGGUU